UGGGGAAUCUUGGACAAUGGGCGCAAGCCUGAUCCAGCGAUGCCGCGUGGGUGAAGACGGCCUGCGGGUUGUAAAGCCCUUUCGGUGGGGAAGAAAGGCGGGGUAUGAACAGUGCCCGGCUGUGACGUUACCCACAGAAGAAGCACCGGCUAACUCCGUGCCAGCAGCCGCGGUAAUACGGAGGGUGCGAGCGUUAAUCGAAAUUACUGGGCGUAAAGCGCGCGUAGGCGGUGGGCUAAGUCCGCUGUGAAAGCCCUGGGCUUAACCUGGGAAUGGCAGUGGAGACUGGCGCACUGGAGUGCGAGAGAGGAGAGUGGAAUUCCUGGUGUAGCGGUGAAAUGCGUAGAUAUCAGGAGGAACACCGGUGGCGAAGGCGGCUUCCUGGACCAAUACUGACGCUGAGGCGCGAAGGCGUGGGGAGCAAACAGGAUUAGAUACCCUGGUAGUCCACGCAGUAAACGGUGAACACUAGGUGUAGCGGGUAUUGACCCCUGCUGUGCCGAAGCUAACGCAUUAAGUGUUCCGCCUGGGAAGUACGGCCGCAAGGUUA
rnacentral:rRNA from 1 species